rnacentral:rRNA from 1 species
CCUACGGGUGGCAGCAGUGGGGAAUAUUGGGCAAUGGGCGCAAGCCUGACCCAGCAACGCCGCGUGAAGGAAGAAGGCUUUCGGGUUGUAAACUUCUUUUCUCAGGGACGAAGCAAGUGACGGUACCUGAGGAAUAAGCCACGGCUAACUACGUGCCAGCAGCCGCGGCACUACGUAGGUGGCAAGCGUUAUCCGGAUUGACUGGGUGUAAAGGGCGUGUAGGCGGGAAAGCAAGUCAGAUGUGAAAACCAUGGGCUCAACCUGUGGCCUGCAUUUGAAACUGUUUUUCUUGAGUGCUGGAGAGGCAGGCGGAAUUCCUGGUGUAGCGGUGAAAUGCGUAGAUAUUAGGAGGAACACCAGUGGCGAAGGCGGUCUGCUGGACAGCAACUGACGCUGAGGCGCGAAAGCGUGGGGAGCAAACAGGAUUAGAUACCCCAGUAGUC